rnacentral:pre_miRNA from 1 species
CUGAUCUCAGAUGGUGGAUAGAUGGAUCAUUGGGAAAUGUCUAGCACCAUUUGAAAUCAGCGC